AUCAUCGGCCAUACCACCCUGAACGCGCCCGAUCUCGUCUGAUCUCGGAAGCUAAGCAGGGUCGGGCCUGGUUAGUACUUGGAUGGGAGAUCAUCGGUUUUCAAUCCGAAUCUAUAAAUGCCUGGCAAGCAAUCAUU
rnacentral:rRNA from 1 species